rnacentral:tRNA from 2 species
CGGGGCGUAGCGCAGUUUGGUAGCGCACACGGCUGGGGGCCGUGUGGUCGCAGGUUCAAAUCCUGUCGCCCCGA